UAGCCUAAUGAUUAAGGCUAUGGAUCGCCAAUCCGGAGACGGCGGGUUCGAUUCCCGC
rfam:Aedes albopictus isolate Foshan contig62753, whole genome shotgun sequence.